rnacentral:snRNA from 1 species
UAGUGUUACAGCUCUUAGAAUUUGUCUAGCAGGUUUUCUGGAUUUUUUUUCCAGAAAUACUGCCCCC